CCUCCCGCCGCCGCGCCCGCCGCCCGCCCGCCUCCAUGGCGGGGCCGCCGCCGCUGCCGGGCAACGCUCCGGGGAGCGCCGCCCUUCCUUCCCUCCCUCCCCGCCGCUCCCUCAGGGGCACAGCGGCCUCCUCGGGCCCGACCCCGCGCCCCGAGGGCUCUGCUCCCGCCCAGCCGCCCGGGAACAACCCCCCGACCCUGCGGGGCCGGGCUUUGUUUCGCCCUGGUCCGCUUUGGUUCCUCCGCACCGUGCGGUGCUCGCGCUUCCCUCAGAGCCCGGUCAGGGCCUUCCAAGGAUGCCGCGAGCAGGCGCCCCUCGAUUUAAAAAGUCACCAUGCAACAAAACUGUAUAAAAUUAUCGCCCUGAAAGAGAGACGGAGUAUGGUUUGGGAAAUGUCUAACGCUGCCAAACGCGUCAGUAACUCGUGCGUUUUAAAGCUCUUUACUUUCAAUGAAAAGAAACAUUCCCCAGCCUAAAUGGUUGUGGGUUUUUGUUUUUUUUUUCAAGUCUGCAAUUUCCUACAAAACUUUCACUUUGUUACAUUGUUCAUCGGUAAUUUUGUUGGAGUAACUGAAAAUGGAGAUACUUAAAAAGCUGUUAGCUGCACACUUCCCCUGCUCUAAAAUCAAUAUGUGUGGACCUCUGCUCAUUGUGCGCUCACUUCUCCAGGUGGGGUGAUAAUGAAGAAAAAUCCCUACAGAAUCAUUUUCUUCUCCUUUCACAUCCUUCAGAAAUAGUACAGUACCUCUCCAGAGAGUUAAACCCUCUUUUCCUUGGAAGAAGUUUCUAAACUGUCACUUCCCCUUCCUUUGAGGACAGUGGGCAGCAAGUACCUCAUUAGAUUGUCUUCCGAAGGAGUUAACGUGGUGGGUGGCUGCCCUUUGAGCUCCUAACUGCUCAGGAGGGGCUUGUGCAGUCGGAGGGCUGGGUGGCAGCAGCCAAAUAGUGCCAGAUCCGUGUCACAUGCACAGGCUUGCCUCAGAAAGCUCUGGUUUAAUUAAAUAGUCCUGGAAGAACAGACCUCUAGAGGUGACAGUGCUGUUGUGUGCUGAUCACACACUAGGUAAUGCAACCCAUCACGGGAGCUGUACCUUCUGAUACAUUUCAAGGGUCUCUAGACCAGUUUCCCACCUUUUGCCUUCUAAAGGGCUCUAAAUAAAACGCAUUGUGAAGGAAUAUGGCGGUGAUAAGAUGAAGACUAGGGAAAAUGUUGGCCUUCUCUGGAAGGAAACAGCAGAACUGGUUGCCCAGGAUAUGGAGGAGGCUGAGGUACUUCACAAUUUUUUUGCCUCUUUGUUCACUGGCAAGUGCUUAAGCUGCAACACCCAAGUUGCGAAAGGAAAAGUCAGGGACUGAGAGAAUGAAGACCGGCCACUGUAAGAGACGUUCAGGAACGUCUAAGGAACUUGCAGGGGCACAAGUGCAUGGGACGUGGUGAAAUGCACCUGUGAGUCCUGAGGGAACCUGUGGAUCAAGUAGCUAAGCCACUAUCAAUCAUAUUUGAGAAGUCGUGCAGGUCAAGGGAGGUGAUUCUCCCCCUUAACUCCUUUUUUGUGAGAUCCUACCUGGAACACUACAUCCAGGUCUGGGGGCCCUACCAGGAGAAGGAUGUGGGCCUUCUUGAAAGCAGUUCAGAGGAGGGCAAUGAAGACGCUCAGAGGGCUGGAGCGCCUCUGCUAUGGACACAGGCUGAGAGAGCUGGAGGUUUUUGGCCUGGAGAAAAGAAGACUCCAGGGAAACCUUAGAGCCCCUUCCAGUACCCAAAGGGGGCCCCCACGAGAAUGACAGAGAGGUACAAGUGCAUGUAGUGAUAGGACAAAGGGUAAUGGCUUUGAACUGAAAGAGGGUAGAUUUAGAUUAGAUAUUAGGAAAAAAUUCUUUACUGUGAGGGUGGUGAGGAACUGGCACGGGUUAACAGAGAAGCUGUGGAUGCUCCCAUUCCUGAAAGAAAAGAAACUGGUCAGCUUGGCCUUUAGCAAAGCAAUGAGCUGAAGCAGAUAGAUACUCAGGUUAUUUAAAAACCCUGAACUCCUGUUUUUUAAUAAAUUGACUGAAAUACUAGUAGGGAUUCCCUGAAGUAUUUAUCAUUUUUGGUUCAUGAUCAGGUGAACGCUACAUGAAUUAUCUGUAUGGCCAUGUAAUUUCCAUUAAUUGUAAGAAUGUGGAAAGAGGAUGGCUUAUCCUGUGAUCCUCCCUAUUACGAAGUAGUUAACUGAUUAAGGUUAGGAUACUGCAAGCCACUUCAUACCAUCAGUGAACUCUCUGCAACCCCAUUAUCUUCAUUAGGCUUGUGUGGGUGUAAUUAAUUGGUGUUUAGUUACCAGUUGUGUUGAAUGAAAAGAAUUUAGUUCUAUUUCUCUUAGUUUUAUUGGCCCCAUGGUGCUAACAGGCUAAAGUGCAAUUAAAAACUCUCUAAUCAAAGUAUAUGUAGCAAGAGCCAAGAAACAAAACCAGUGAGGAAAAGCCUGUGAUUGGUGUAACUCUGGCCUUUGAAAAAUGAAGAUGCUUCACUUAUAUUAACAUGUACAUUAAAAAUGUACAAAAAUGUAUAAGAUUGCAAUCAUAACAUUCCUAGAGGUGUCCAGUAACACUGUAUUUUGAUGUCUUCUCAACAGAUUUUCCCCCAAGUCUCUUAGAUUGCAUAGUAUUUUGGGCACACAGAUAAAUGGGUCUCAUGUUUCUUUUGAGAGCAACUGUACAUAAUUCUUUUUCACCUCUUGCCUUUACUAUAACUCUUGCUAUGAUCAGCUUUUCCUCAUUUAUGAUACUGUAUUGUGUGCAUUCUUUUUGUCACAUGUAUCUCCUUUGAGUAUAGGAAUAUGUGGUGCUAAUCUGGCAUGCUCUAAACCCAAGUACAACAUGGCAUGCUUGAGCAUCGCGUGAAGGAUUUGCUUUUUGCUGUUCUAAAAUGCUGCUUUAAAAAUAUAAACUUGACCUUUAAAUCAUGGUCUCACUGCCAUCUCUGUUCUUGUCGGAUUUCACAGAAGAGUAAUGUGUGCUUAUUCCACUGACAGGGUCUUCUUUGAAGUCAACUCUGAGUAUGUAAAAACUGCCCAUUUCCGAUAAAAUCAGGAUUGUCUUUUUAGCUUGGUGAUACAAGAACUUUUGUACAGGAAAAGUGAAGCUGAUAGCAGAGGGGUUUAAGGAGUCCAAAUAAAAAGUGGGAACUACUGAGAGGAGUCUGGCUUCCUCCUCUUCAUUCCCUCCCAUCAAGUAUUUAUACACAUUGAUGAUUGCUCCCUGAGCCUUCUCUCUUCUGGACUGAAGAGUUCCAGCUGUCUCAACUUCUCCUAUUUUGAAAGACACUCCAGUCCUUUAAUCACCUGCACGGGACUCACUCCAAUAAUGAAAGCAACAUAAAGGGAGGAAGUGAUAAAAAGAGUUUUUUGGCAGAAAACCCUCUAGAACAGGAAGAAAAUAAUGUUCUGUGAAAUGUACCUUAAGCAAUGAGAAGGGCAGUGUGUAACUCAUCAACCAGGCUUCAACCAGCAAGCAAUCACUACAGCUACUGUGUCCAAUUAUCCAUCAUAAAAAUCACCAUUUUCUUCAGAGAAGGAGGAGGAUGUAUUUUUUGUCAACUGCUGAUAUUUAGUGAUUAAGCCAAAAGUAGUACCAAAUGCACACAAUUGUAUUUGUCAGAGUGUAAAGUAAAGGUAAAAAAACCUUUAUGUUUUCUGACUGUGCCAGUAUAUUCAUUCUCAGUUACCUGCUUCUUGCAUGGGGAGGGAAGCAGUCCAUCAUACACAGAAUAGAACAUUCUGGUAGUGCGAGCUGUGUAUAAAUAUUUAACACAAUGAAAUUAUUUUGAGACGUGCUUACUAUUGCUCUAUUUUAAAUGGUUAAAUGGCAUCCUAGCACUUACAAGCUUAAAUCCACAAAAGACUAUUGGAUCCUCUACUCUUCACCUCCUGUGUAUAUCAAGCACAUGAUAUAUGAGUUGAAAGGCUUUUAGGCUUUAAUUUGAGAUGGAUUACUGCCUGCUUGCAGCAAAGUAUCUUAAUAAACAGCAUAGCUCUCAGUUUUGUGUUUUAAUUCUACCCAUAUUCUGUGAGCAUUGACUAUAAGAAGCAAGAAAAA